GCUGCCGGGGCGGGGAGGGAACCUGCGCCCGGAGCCACGUGCUGGAGCCGGCGCUGGGUGGGUGGCUUAGGGAGGCGUGGGGGAGGGAGAGGCCCUUGCUGGGAAAGGCCCCAGGCCACGUUUCUGGGGGAGGAGAAGAACCGCGAGUGGACACGCUUGGCCCCAGGCCACCAGGGAACGUUCGUGUCUGGAGAACGCGGCCCAGAUCCCUUUGAUGGGAGCAGCUCUGGCCAAGCCUGGAGGGCUGGCCCUGCCUGGUUAGGGUUGGACCUGAAGAAAUGCACUGGCCUAACCCAAUGGCCUCCGUUGACCGCGGUGGGAUGGGGUUAGGGCUGGAGACUCCUCCACCUCCCACCCCUCAAAGGAUGUCUGUCCAAGGGUCAAAGAAUUGGAGAGGCUGAGUAAGUUGAGGGUGGGUGGCUGCCCAGUGAAGGCGGGGGGAGUAGUAGGAAGAAGGAAGGAGGCGUAAAAAGAAGGAAGAAGAAUUUUAAGAACAUGCCAAGGACAUAACUGCAGUCCUUGGAAAGCCACAGCUCAACAAGUGAUGCCAGCCCAUGGAGGGGGUGUUGUGUCUCAUCUUGCAGGCAGAAGUAGCACAACAGCUGGGUGAACCAAACCCAUCCGGAUCUGUCCAGAGCUGUUUGUCAGUAUGGCCUCACAGGACCAUGUUUAGGGUCUGUCCAGAGUCAAGAAGUUCAAACUGAGAGAGUGUUGAGCUCUUUUCAGAAGCCACUGGAGCAAAGACCAACAUCUCUAGGAGAGCAUCUCCAGUCCCAUCUUUAUCAAUGCACUGUCCACCUGAAGCCUCGGUGACUGAACAGAGCCGUCCUUAUAGGGUGAUGUGAGAGGACUUGGAAGGCUGCAGACUCUCACAUGAAGAUGAACCUGUGCCUGUUGUCUGAGAAGGUGUAGGGACCCCUACAGAUGGUUCUGAGGUGGGAAGGAGCAAGUCGCCCUCCACUGUACUGAACGAAGGGGGACCCGCUUGCAGCAGGGGGUGUAUCUCCUGGUGGUGAUGGAGCUUUGGCUUUGGGUCCAAACAGUUUAGUUCAGGGGAAAACUCGUCAGUCAGAGGAGUGCUGAACAUGUCCAGAUGGAAGUGAAACCGCACAACUGGUCUCAGAUGGGAUGAAACCGCACAACUCAGAUGGGACUUGAACCCAUGGCCUGGGACUCGAACCCACUGUCUUUUAAUUGUAAUCACACACAUGGUCUCAGGACUUAAUGAAGCUCAGGUUCUUUGUGUCUCAUCCCAGAAGGAAUUCAGCUGGAGGCAAAGUGAAAGGUAAGAAGUAGAUUUAUUGAGAGAGAUAACACAUUCCAUAGACAGAAUGCAGUCUGUAUCAAAAGGCAAAAGCGGCCCUGAAAUAUGGUGUGGAUAGUUUUUAUGGGCUGGGUAAUUUCAUAGGCUAAUGAGUGGGAGAAUUAUUCCAACUAUUUUGGAGAAGGGGUGUGGAUUUCCAGGAACUGGGCACUGCCCAGUUUUUGGCCUUGUAUGGUCAGCCUCAGAGCUGUCAUGGUGCCGGUGGGUGUGUCGUUGAUCAUGCUAAUGUAUUACGAUGACUGUAUAAUGAGGCUCAAGGUCCACUGGGAGUCAAAUCUUCUGCCACCUUGGACCUAGUUGGUUCUAACCAGUUUAUGUUGUAUCUUCAACCUGCUAUGUCCUUCUUUUUUCUUCUUCUUCUUUUUUUUUUUGGUAUCUUACUGUAGUUUAUUUAUUUAUUUUUAACAUCUUUAUUGGGGUAUAAUUGCUUUACAAUGGUGUGUUAGUUUCUGCUGUAUAACAAAGUGAAUCAGCUAUACAUAUACAUAUAUCCCCGUAUCUCCUCCCUCUUGCGUCUCCCUCCCAGCCUCCCUAUCCCACCCCUCUAGGUAGACACAAAGCACGGAGCUGAUCUCCCUGUGCUAUGUGGCUGCUUCCCACUAGGUAUCUAUUUUACAUUUGGUAGUGUAUAUAUGUCCAUGCAACCGGCUGUGUCAUUCUUUUAAAGGUUGUGCCCUGCCCCCUUCCCUCCUGUUUCAGAGGUUGCAAUUAAGACACUCAUACAAAGGGCUCUAGUGGGUUGAUGGGUGGCUCCCCCAAAAGAUAUGUCCAUGUCCUAGCCCCCAAAACUAUGAAUGUGACCUUGUUUUGAAAAAGGGUCUUUGCAGAUGUAAUUAAGAAUCCCGAGAUGAGGUCAUCCUGGAUUAUCCAGGUGUGUCCCAAAUCCAAUGACAAAUGUCCUUAUAAAGAGCAGAAGAGGGCCUCCCUGGUGGCGCAGUGGUUGCGCGUCCGCCUGCCGAUACAGGGGAACCGGGUUCGCGCCCCGGUCUGGGAGGAUCCCACAUGCCGCGGAGCGGCUGGGCCCGUGAGCCAUGGCCGCUGAGCCUGCGCGUCCGGAGCCUGUGCUCCGCAACGGGAGAGGCCACAACAGAGGAAGGCCCGCAUACCACAAAAAAAAAAAAAAAAAAAAAAGAGCAGAAGAGAAUUCACAAAUACAGAGGAGAAGGUCAUGUGAAGACAGAGGCAGAGAUUGAAGUUAUGCAGCCAAAGAAAACCUGGAGCCACCAGAAGCUGGAAGGGAAACUUUGGAGAGAGUGCAGCCCUGAGGACACCUUGACCUUGGAUUUUUCGCUCCCAGAACUGUGGAAGAAUUAAUUUCUGUUGUUUUAAGCCACCCAGUUUGUGGUAACUUGUUUCAGUAGCUACAGGAAAUUAAUAACAAGGACCAAUUGCAAACCACAGCCCAUCCCCACCCCGAAAGGAAAAGAUAAGGGGCCAUGGUCUGAAGUGGUGAAGGCAGAGAGAAGUGAAACUCAAAGGAUCAAUGAAGGACUUUCAUAGCUUGCUGCAUACAAUGGAGUGGGUUGUGCACUGCACAACGGUGGGCACCAUAUACAGCAUGGUUGUAGAUCUGAAUAUUUAUUGCUUGUUUUUUUUCUGCAGGGGUCAGUAAGGUAUCUUGAGGAAGGGAUGCCUCUUCCUAAAACACAAAACUACCCUAUGACCUUGUUGGGUUUUGGUGAGUAACAUCUAGAUAGCCCUGUCCAAUAGAACUUUCUGCAAGUAUGGAAAUGUUAUAAUUGCAUCAUCCAAUAGAGUAGCCAUGAGUCACAUGUGACUCUUGAGCACUUAGAAUGUGGCUUGUGCAACUGAGGAGCUGAAUUUUUGGCUGUGUUGGGUCUUUGUUGCUGCACGUGGGUUUUCGUUGCGGCGAGCGGGGGCUACUCUUCUUUGCAGUGCGCGGGCAUCUCAUUGCAGUGGCUUCUCUUGUUGCAGAGCACGGGCUCUAGGCGCGCAGGCUUCAGUAGUGGUGGCUGGCGGGCUGUAAAGCACAGGCUCAGUAGUUGUGGCACACGGGCUUAGUUGCUCCGCGGCAUGUGGGACCUUCCCGGACCAGGGCUUGAACCAGUGUCCCCUGCGUUGGCAGGCGGAUUCUUAACCACUGCGCCACCAGGGAAGCCCUGAAUUUUAUUUUAAUUAAUGUAAAUUUAAAAAGCCAUAUGUGGCUGGUGGCUACCAUAUUGGACACACAGCUCUAGGUCAAGAAAAUGGAAGCUCAGGACUGCUUGGUGUAGAAUUUAGUCACCAGAAGCCUGGCCACUAUUCAAUAGAUAUUGUUCAUGGGCCGCUCUGCAACUGUAGUCCUUAUUGAGUUGAGGGCGUCAGUCAGGGACCAAGGUGGAGGUAGAGGUGGUGGCAGGGAGCGAGCAGUGCCCGGAAGUAUGAGAAAUGCCCAACUGGACCAGAGCAAGGGUCCAACAGCAGAAGGAGGAAGAGAGAAAGGCUUGCCCAAGGAGGUAAGAGAUUUCUCUCCAAAUUGCUGGCUUUCCCUACUCUGAGUAAACUUUCAUGAAUCUGUCAAUCAUGAAGUUAGCUAAACUCUUUAGGAACCCUCCCCCCUUUUUUUCUGGCUGCACCGUGCUACUUGCAGGAUCUUAGUUCCCUGACCAGGGAUUGAACCUGGGCCCUGUCAGUGAAAGAGUCACGUCCUAACCAUUGGACCACCAGGGAAUUCCCUCUUUUAGAACCUAUUUUUGCUUUCAGCUUUCAGUUUGGAAUAAUGAAAUUUUAUUUGGAGAUAAUCAUAGAGAUGGGCAGGGGGUGCCAGUCUGGGGGCUCCUGGGCCUCGGGGUCAUUCACUCCUUGAAAGGGGGCUCUUUGGGAGCAGGUCUGUUUAAGCUCCCAAUCAAGUCUGCUAUGGGAAGGUGGGAGCUCUCCCUGUCUCUGCCACCCCACAUCGCCCAGGUAUAGUAUCCAAACUCCUGUCUGGAGAGCAAGACAUUUGCUCAGCUGCACCUUCAUCCCUUGAAGGGACCUGAAGACUCCUCCAAGGUGGGAAAAAAGGUCUAAUAUGUCAUUUGGUGAUCAUCACACUCUCCCCGCAUGUUGGUGAGCAAUGAGUAUGAAUUUACUGAAGACUUUUAGGGGUAAGUGCCAACCAGACAGUGAGGGCCUGGCUGUUCCGGCAGCAUCAGCGUCACCUGGGAGCUUGUUAGAGACGCAGACUCUCAGACCCACCUGAUGGAAUCAAGACUCGGUUGUAAGGAUCCCCAUGUGGUUGGGGAUGCACGGUAAAGUUUGAAACACUGCUCUAGAACAAGGCCCAUUCCCUGACAUUGAUUUAAUGGACUUGUUUUGAAUUAAUUAAUGGAGCCGAACUGACCUUGCUGUUUCAGAAUUUUGUUGAUUUCACCACCCUGGAGAACCUUCCAGUAAAACAUAAAUCUGCCAAAAUAGUUUCCAAGCUCUAUUAUCCCAGACGGAAUCCCCUCCGAGGCCGUGGAUGUUCUGAAAGCUCAGGAUAAAUUGUCUUCCACAUCCCUGAUCUUUGUGAGGGCGACACUUUGGGAGUGUGGUGGAGAGCGAGAACCUCCUUUCAGGGCCAGCUCUGAAGCUCGGCUCUGCAUUGGUGGCAACUUUUCCUGCCACACCUGAGAGGACCUGGGCUCUGCUCCCACGGAGAACAGUUAUAGUAUCUCCAUCCUCACCUGUGGCUUCCCUGCACCAAAGCCUGGCAAAGAGGUGACCCUUCUCAGGAUUUUCUGAACAGAGCCAGUGGCCCAUGGCUAUCAGAAGAGCGCAUGAGCCUACUAUCAAAGGGCUUAAAGAGACACAGAAUCACCCAAUUAGAAAGCAGUAAUAAGCAACCUAUUUUUCCAUCGACAGAUGAAUGGAUAAAGAAGAUGUGGUACAUAUAUACAAUGGAAUAUUACUCAGCCAUAAAAAGGAACGAAAUUGGGUCAUUUUAGCAAUGUGGUUGGACCUAGAGUCUGUCACACAGAGUGAAGUAAGUCAGAAAGAGAAAAACAAAUACCGUAUAUUAACGCAUAUAUGCGGAAUCUAGAAAAAUGGUACUGAUGAACCUAUUUUCAGGGCAGGAAUAGAGACAGAGACGUAAACAAUGCACUUGUGGACACAGCAAGCGGGGGCAAGGGGAGGGUGGGACGAAUUGAGAGAGUAGCAUUGACAUAUAUACCCUACCAUGUGUAAAACAGAUAGCUAGUGGGAAGCUAUCUGAUCUCCCUGCUGUACAGCACAGGGAGAUCAGCUCAGUGCUCUGUGAUUACCUAGAGGGGUGGGAUAGGGAGGGUGGGAGGGAGGGGAUAUGGAGAUAUAUGUAUACAUAUAGCUGAUUCACUUUGUUGUACAGCAGAAACUAACACAACAUUGUUAAGCAAUUAUACUCCAAUAAAAAAAAAAGAAAAAAAGAAAGUGGUAUUAGCAGGUCUACAACAUCCCAUACAGCAGGAGAGGCAGCUGUUGAAAAUAAUUUUUGAAGAGGUUAAUUUUACAAAAAGCAGAUUGUAAAAUAGAAUUACAGUCUUUUCAUUUUCAUUUUAUUAUAUUAUUAUUAUUAUUAUUUGGCUGCACCAAGCGGCUGGCAGGAUCUUAGCUCCCUGACCAGGGAUCGAACCUGGGCCCCCGGCAGGGAAAGCAUUAGUCUAACCACUGGACCUCCAGGGAAUUCCCCUUUUCAUUCUUAAAUAAAAAUAUAUCUAGGGCUUCCCUGGUGGUGCAGUGGUUGAGAGUCCGCCUG